CGUUGUUGUUUGUGUAGUCCUGUCGUCGUGGCUUUGUUGUUCUUUUUCAGCUGUUCCUGGUUGAGCUCGGCUGCUGCUGCCAGCUACUAUCAACAUCCGGUCAUGACGGACGCUGCUACCGCAGAGCUCCACUAGAGGGCUGGAUUUGGUGCUAAGGCCAACAAUCUGACAGAUCUUAGAACAGAGUACAGAGGAGUCUCCUGGAGCAUCGGAUGGGACGAUAAUCUCUGUCUGUCACACUGCCCAGUAAGUCACAAAGCUUCUGGUGUUCCCAGGUUUGCUGACACUGUUAUUCACACAAGCGCCGCCGGGUGUCACUGUUAAACUAUGUUUAUGUCGGAUAACCUUCUGUUGUACAGACAUCCUCAAGAAAUUCAUCCUGACGUCAAAGGAGCUUCAAAAGGGACGACGGAGAGAGAGAGGGGCUUCAACAUGGCCGUAUCAGGGGCUGUAGCACCGUGAGUUUAAACUUCAAUUUUUUUUGUUUUGUUUGUUUUUGUUUUUGUUUUUUUAAGUGCCAUCGUUUUACUUGUUUAUGUUUCUUUUUUAGAGGGGUUUCCCAGCAGGUCAGACGUCUAAUUGACAGCAUUAAGAAUGACUCUGUGAGGGUGCUGGUGUAACACAUUGCAAUCACAAUUUCUGUUAAAAUAGUAUACAGUUAAAAAAAAGAAGUUAUUUUUACCUGCAUCUCUUCCUGUCCUGCAGGCACGGUGUGCUAUGAAAGAUUUUGUAAUCUUUCAUAAAAACAGUGCAAUUAUUAUUACAUAGAUGACAUUACCAAAAAAGGCAUGUCGGAUGCAACACUUUAAAGCAGGGGUCUUCAACAUUUAUCUCACCUUACAGUAUAUAUUUUAUUUAAAUGGAGUUUAUUUAAAACUGGCCCUGGUGCUAUGUAUAAAUGUGCU